GCGAAAGCGUUAAGUAUUCCACCUGGGGAGUACGCCGGCAACGGUGAAACUCAAAGGAAUUGACGGGGGCCCGCACAAGCGGAGGAACAUGUGGUUUAAUUCGAUGAUACGCGAGGAACCUUACCCGGGCUUAAAUUGCAGAUGAAUUACGGUGAAAGCCGUAAGCCGCAAGGCAUCUGCGAAGGUGCUGCAUGGUUGUCGUCAGCUCGUGCCGUGAGGUGUCGGCUUAAGUGCCAUAACGAGCGCAACCCUUGUUGUCAGUUACUAACAGGUUCCGCUGAGGACUCUGACAAGACUGCCAUCGUAAGAUGUGAGGAAGGUGGGGAUGACGUCAAAUCAGCACGGCCCUUACGUCCGGGGCUACACACGUGUUACAAUGGGGGGUACAGAGGGCCGCUACCACGCGAGUGGAUGCCAAUCCCCAAAACCUCUCUCAGUUCGGACUGGAGUCUGCAACCCGACUCCACGAAGCUGGAUUCGCUAGUAAUCGCGCAUCAGCCACGGCGCGGUGAAUACGUUCCCGGGCCUUGUACACACCGCCCGUC
rnacentral:rRNA from 1 species